GUUUGCUUGGAAGCAGGUCAAGACGGCCCCUAACCACGACGGCCCUCCAAGACGGCCCUCCCCCACGGCCCCGUGUUUACCAGGACGGCCCCGUGUGUUUACCAGGACGGCCCCGUGUUUACCAGGACGGCCCCAUUUUGGCCUAAUGAUGAUGAUUUCUACUUUCAUCCUCAUCGGGGCUAGCGAGACCAACCUGGGGCUGUACUCUGGACUGACGCUGUAUGCCAUAGAUGUAAACAAAGCGGUGGUUUCCUUCCAGCUAGUGAUAAAACUUUCUCUCGCUCUCCCUCGCUCUCCCUCACUCUCCCACAUCACGGAAGCAGUAAAAUAAAGCACACGAGGAGGAAGUGAGAGGAUAAUGAAUUUUGGAUGUUUGCGAUACGUCAGAAGGUUACACCCAUUUCUUGUCCAGAUGUUGAAGAACGUGCGGAGAAGCAAGGUGGCAUUCGGCAGUCUGAUCCUGGACCUGGUCGGCUUGACGGUGGUGGUGCCUCUGUCUCUUGCUUUCUUUGACUGUUACUCCAAGCACGACUCCAGCGGCUUGUAUUCCUCUGUGCUCUCCUGUGUGACUUAUUACCAGCAUAUCAUCGGCAUCCCUGCGAGGUUCCACUCUGUCUUGUUUUGGUGGUAUGUGGGUGUGUUGUGUUUUUUAUUGGUUUGUAUAUUUCUAGUUUGUUUUUAUUAUUAUUUUUUUCAAUUUUUUUUAUCCUGUUAUCUAUUUAUUUAUCUUUGUUUGUUUGUUUGUUUGUUUGUUUGUAGGGUGUGUGUGUGUGUGUGUUUGUUUGUGUUCCUGCUGUUCUAUAUUGCAGCUUGUUUUCUUGUUUUUGUUUUUUUGUUAUUGUUAUUUUGUGUUUUAUUCCCUUUCAUUGUUCUGAGGAUGUUUUCAGGUAUUUUUGGGGUGUUUUUGGGUGUUUUUGGGGUGUUUUUGGAUGUUUUUUGUGGUGUUUUGGUGUAUUUUGAGGGUGUUUUGGUGUGUUUUUGUAGUGUUUUGGGGUAUUUCAAGGGUGUUUUAGUGUGUUUUUGGAGUUUUUUGGGGUGUUUUGGGGUAUUUUAAGGGUGUUUUAGUGUGUUUUUGGAGUGUUUUGGGGUGUUUUGGUAUAUUUUGAGGGUGUUUUAGUGUGUUUUUGGAGUGUUUUGGGGUGUUUUGGUGUAUUUUGAGGGUGUUUUAGUGUGUUUUUGGAGUGUUUUGGGAUGCUUUGGUGUGUUUUGGGAUGUUUUUGGGUGUUUUUGGGUAUUUUAAGGGUGUUUUGGUGUGUUUUUGGAGUGUUUUGGGAUGUUUUGGUGUGUUUUGAGGGUGUUUUGGUGCAUUUUUGGAGUGUUUUGGGAUGUUUUGGUGUGUUUUGAGGGUGUUUUGGUGUGUUUUUGGAGUGUUUUGGGGUGUUUUGGUGUAUUUUGAGGGUGUUUUGGUGUGUUUUUGGAGUGUUUCAGGAUGCUUUGGUGUGUUUUGGGAUGUUUUUGGGUGUUUUUGGAGUGUUUUGGGAUGUUUUGGUGUAUUUUGGGGUAUUUUGAGGGUGUUUAAAGGUGUUGUGGUGGUAUUAAAUUUAUUGUUUGUUUACUUUUUUUAGCUUUUUAUUUUCUUGUGCAUUAUUUUAUUUCUUAUUUAUAUUGUGGUGUGUUGCCGGUGUGCCCUAACCUAACCGAGAGGCAGAGGCACACAACCCGAGAAGAGCGGAGGCAAGCCUCGGGUACCGAGAGGCAGAGGCACACAACCCGAGAGGAGCGGAGGCAAGCCUCGGGUUCCGAGAGGCAGAGGCACACAACCCGAGAGGAGCGGAGGCAAGCCUCGGGUUCCGAGAGGCAGAGGCACACAACCCGAGAGGAGCGGAGGCAAGACUCGGUUUGCUUCAUCUUCAUAUCUCCCCCCCCCCCCCCCGCAAAUUUUAACAUUCAUUAAACAUUUUCAAAUAUUUUUUGCAAACGUCAUGAAAUAAACCUCAAUAUUAAAAACACAUCAUUCCAUUAUCAAUUUCAUUUUUUUUUUUUCUUUUUUUUUUUUUACUGCAAAUGAGCCAUAUUGAGCAGCUUCAAAUACGCUUCCUUUACACCUUAUAGAAACCUUGAUUUAAGCUUCUGCUUUAAGGAUACUUAUCUAAUCUUACUUAAUGGCUUUAAAACUGGAAAUAUGGAAAGAUAAAAUAUAUUUCAUCUUUACUUCGUAAUUACAUUGCAACAUAAUUAUGAAUUUUCCCAUGAAAUUAUUAUUAUUAUUUUUUUUUUUAUGAAUGAAGGACACUGGCCAAGGGCAACAAAAAUCCAAUAAAAAAAAAAAAAAUGCCCACUGAAAUGCCAGUCCCACAAAAGGGUCAAAGCAGUGGUCAAAAAUUGAUGAACAAGUGUCUUGAAACCUCCCUCUUCAAGGAAUACAAGUCAUAGGAAGGUGGAAAUACAGAAGCAGGCAGGGAGUUCCAGAGUUUACCAGAGAAAGGGAUGAAUGAUUGAGAAUACUGGUUAACUAUUGCGAUAGAGAGGUGGACAGAAUAGGGGUGAGAGAAAGAAGAAAGUCUUGUGCAGCGAGAGGGGAGGCAUGCAGUUAACAAGAUCAGAAGAGCAGUUAGCAUGGAAAUAGCGGUAGAAGACAGCUAGAUAUGCAACAUUGCGGCGGUGAGAGAGAGGCUGAAGACAGUCAGUUAGAGGACAGGAGUUGAUGAGACGAAAAGCUUUUGAUUCCACCCUGUCUAGAAGAGCAGUAUGAGUGGAACUCCCCAGACAUGUGAAGCAUACUCCAUACAUGGACGGAUAAGGCCCUUGUACAGAGUUAGCAGCUGGGGGGGGGUGAGAAAAACUGGCGGAGACGUCUCAGAACACCUAACUUCAUAGAAGCUGUUUUAGCUAGAGAUGAGAUGUGAAGUUUCCAGUUCAGAUUAUAAGUAAAGGACAGACCGAGGAUAUUCAGUGUAGAAGAGGGGGACAGCUGAGUGUCAUUGAAGAAGAGGAGAUAGUUGUCUGGAAGGUUGUGUCGAGCUGAUAGAUGGAGGAAUUGAGUUUUUGAGGCAUUGAACAAUACCAAGUUUGCUCUGCCCCAAUCAGAAAUUUUAGAAAGAUCAGAAGUCAAGCGUUCUGUGGCUUCCCUGCGUGAUAUGUUUACCUCCUGAAGGGUUGGACGUCUAUGAAAAGACAUGGAAAAGUGCAGGGUGGUAUCAUCAGCGUAGGAGUGGAUAGGACAAGAAGUUUGGUUUAGAUCAUUAAUGAAUAAUAAGAAGAGAGUGGGUGACAGGACAGAACCCUGAGGAACACCACUGUUAAUAGAUUUUAGGAGAAGAACAGUGACCGUCUACCACAGCAGCAAUAGAACGGUCAGAAAGGAAACUUGAGAUGAAGUUACAGAGAGAAGGACCGUAGGAGGGUAGUUUGGAAAUCAAAGCUUUGUGCCAGACUCUAUCAAAAGCUUUUGAUAUGUCCAAAACAACAGCAAAAAUUUCACCAAAAUCUCUAAAAGAGGAUGACCAAGACUCAGUAAGGAAAGCCAGAAGAUCACCAGUAGAGCGGCCUUGACGGAACCCAUACUGGCGAUCAGAUAGAAGGUUGUGAAGUGAUAGAUGUUUAAGAAUCUUCCUAUUGGAUAUAUUAUUAUUUGUACGUGGUGUACGAUAUGUUUUCCCGGCGGCAAGCCAAGCACUGCUUGUCGCCAGGAGUGUAUCCUCAGUUCCGGACCGAGCCCAAUAAAGGAGAGACGUGUGU